UCCAUGUCCUUGACUCCACAGUACGACUUCAACUCAUUCACAUUCGACCCCAUCAAAGAAUCAAUCGUUUCUCGUGAAAUGACCCGCCGUUACAUGACUGACAUGGUCACCUACGCCGACACUGACGUCAUCGUCGUCGGUGCUGGCUCCGCCGGUCUCUCCUGCGCUUACGAGAUCAGCAAGAACCCCUCAAUCCGUGUCGCCAUAAUCGAGCAAUCAGUAAGCCCUGGUGGUGGCGCAUGGCUCGGUGGCCAGCUCUUUUCGGCGAUGGUCGUGCGCAAGCCAGCUCAGAGAUUCCUAGACGAGCUCGGCGUCGAGUACGACGAGCAAGACAACUACGUCGUGAUCAAGCAUGCCGCGUUGUUCACUUCAACAAUCAUGAGCAAGCUGUUGGCGAGGCCAAACGUGAAGUUGUUCAACGCUGUUGCAGCUGAGGAUUUGAUCGUCAAGGGAGGGAGAGUAGGUGGCGUCGUCACAAACUGGGCCUUGGUGUCUAUGAAUCACGACACACAGUCUUGCAUGGACCCCAAUGUGAUGGAGGCCAAGAUUGUGGUCAGCUCGUGUGGCCAUGACGGCCCUUUUGGGGCUACCGGUGUUAAGAGGCUUAAGAGUAUUGGCAUGAUUGACUCCGUCCCCGGAAUGAAAGCUCUCGAUAUGAACACUGCAGAGGAUGCUAUCGUUAGGCUUACCAGGGAGAUCGUGCCUGGCAUGAUUGUCACGGGCAUGGAAGUCGCAGAGAUCGACGGUGCCCCUAGAAUGGU
rnacentral:lncRNA from 1 species